ACCAACAUUCCAAUAUAUGGAAGUCAUGAAGUUUUCCAAGGCAUAAAUGAAGCGGCGGAAAGAUGUUGAGGCAUUCAGUUUGACUUGUAGCCGCAGCAGCAUCUACAGGCCCAAAAAGAGUGGUUCGCUUGGAUCAGAGAUAGAUGGAGACCUUUCAGCAAAAGCCGAGAUACACGGGUUGACAAGAUCGGAAAGUACAUAAAAUGUCGUUUUAGAAAAAUUACUCAGGCGGUUAAAGGCUGAUCACUGAAGCCUGCAAUUAUUACAUCAUUAGCAAACACUUUGUGAUUGACUUCUUUCGUUAUAACGCUCAACAGUUUACGUAUAUUUCACUCGGAUUGUCUUGCCAACUUGUGAAAGGGUGUUUUUUCAUGCGAGCAGAUAUUUUGACGCAUACGUUUUUUGGCGCGGCCAGUAUCUCGAUUUUUGGCGCGCUUUUAUUCAUGAACUUUUAAAGUGUAUGCCAUACAAUUUUGUUUAUUUGUGCGAUGUUUUUUUUAUCUGCAUCGUUCAAAAGCUGUAAAGGCAACAUUUAAUCAAAAUCGGACCGGGUAUUUAUAAUUAUUAUUUAUAUAUUUUUUAUGUUUUACUCUAUUUAGCAGUACAGGGACAAAAUUUCCCUUUACUCUUAGUAUUGCAGAUGUCGAUUUUAACAUCAAUCGCGAUAGAUACCACGUUAAGCAACAAAAGUCAUCUCAAUUGAUAUCACUAAAACCCUUGCAAAUAAGGAAAAGACAAGGAGGAUGAUAAUCAGAAACAGAUAAGAGCGACAAACAUGACAACUAAAUCAGCGUGGGGAUGCAGACAGAUAAUCUCGGGAUGAGUUCGCCUGAAUGAUCAAGAUGAGUUCGCCUGAAAGUCGGGAUGAGAUCGCCUGAGAGUCGGGAUAAGAUCGCCUGAAAGUCGGGAUAAAUCAACUGUCAAGUGGUUGUCAUUUGCUAGUUGCUUUUGUCCCGCCUUUUCUGCGAAUUGAUCACGUGAUGUGACGUCAUCACUGCCCAAUUACAAAUGCUGCAAUAUAUUGAGGUACGUAAACGUUAGAUGUUGCGCAUAUACCUCAUACGCGUAAUAACUCUGUGUAAAUGUGAAUGGUAGUAGAAAAAAAUUAAAUAAACCCAAUUCAAUCAA